rnacentral:lncRNA from 1 species
GAAGGCUCCAUUUCCCGAUCUCGAAGAGUUGGGAAACCCUAGAGAUGGCGAUCGCGGCUUUCCGUCGGAUCCCUCUCCACCUCGCGCGAUCUCAUCCCCCACUCUCCCUCCGGCCCCUCGCCCGCUCCUGCUCAUCGUCCUCCCCGGCCCCCUCAUCUGGCUCCAGGAAGGUCGCCGACCGGAUCGUGAAGCUGUUCGCUGUCGAUCCCGAGGGGAGCAAGCACGAGGUCAUCGGCCUCGCCGGGCAGACCCUCCUCCGCGCCCUGAUCAACGCCGGCCUCAUCGACCCGGCGUCGCACCGCUUGGAGGACAUAGAGGCCUGCUCAGCCGAAUGCGAGGUCCACAUCUCCCAGGAGUGGCUCGACAAGCUCCC